rnacentral:rRNA from 1 species
GUAGGGUGCAAGCGUUAUCCGGAAUCAUGGGCGUAAAGAGCUCGUAGGCGGUUCAGCAAGUCGGCUGUGAAAUCCCGAGGGCUUAACCUCGGAACUGCAGUCGAUACUGCUGUGACUAGAGUCCGGUAGAGGAGAAUGGAAUUCCCGGUGUAGCGGUGAAAUGCGCAGAUAUCGGGAGGAACACCAGUAGCGAAGGCGGUUCUCUGGGCCGGUACUGACGCUGAGGAGCGAAAGCGUGGGUAGCAAACAGGAUUAGAUACCCUGGUAGUCCACGCCGUAAACGUUGGACACUAGGUGUGGCGUUCCGACCAACGGGUGCCGUGCCGAAGCUAACGCAUUAAGUGUCCCGCCUGGGGAGUACGGCCGCAAGGCUA